rnacentral:rRNA from 1 species
UACAGAGGGUGCAAGCGUUGCUCGGAAUGAUUGGGCGUAAAGGGUAGGUAGGUGGUCUCAUUUGUCUGAGGUGAAAGCCUUGAGCUCAACUCAAGAAGUGCCUCAGAAACGGUGGGACUCGAGUCCUGGAGAGGGUCGUGGAAUUCCCGGUGUAGCGGUGAAAUGCGUAGAGAUCGGGAGGAACACCAGAGGCGAAGGCGGCGACCUGGACAGGUACUGACACUCAACUACGAAAGCGUGGGGAGCAAAC